GUGAGGAAUAUUGGUCAAUGGGCGAGAGCCUGAACCAGCCAAGUCGCGUGAAGGAAGAAGGAUCUAUGGUUCGUAAACUUCUUUUGCAGGGGAAUAAAGUGCGGGACGUGUCCUGUUUUGUAUGUACCCUGAGAAUAAGGAUCGGCUAACUCCGUGCCAGCAGCCGCGGUAAUACGGAGGAUCCGAGCGUUAUCCGGAUUUAUUGGGUUUAAAGGGUGCGUAGGUGGUUUGAUAAGUCAGCGGUGAAAGUUUGCAGCAUAACUGUAAAAAUGCCGUUGAAACUGUCGGACUUGAGUGUAAAUGAGGUAGGCGGAAUGCGUGGUGUAGCGGUGAAAUGCAUAGAUAUCACGCAGAACUCCGAUUGCGAAGGCAGCUUACUAAGCUACAACUGACACUGAAGCACGAAAGCGUGGGGAUCAAACAGGAUUAGAAACCCGAGUAGUCC
rnacentral:rRNA from 1 species